rnacentral:misc_RNA from 1 species
AAGUCGUAACAAGGUUUCCGUAGGUGAACCUGCGGAAGGAUCAUUAACGAAUAACUAUGGCGUUGGUUGUAGCUGGCUCCUCGGAGCAAUGUGCACGCCCGCCAUUUUUAUCUUUCCACCUGUGCACCGACUGUAGGUCUGGAUACCUCUCGCCUCCGGGCGGAUGCGAGGGUUCCUCGUAAGGGCUUCCCUUGAACUUCCAGGCUCUACGUCUUUUUACACACCCCAAUAGUAUGAUGCAGAAUGUAGUCAAUGGGCUUCUCAGCCUAUAAAACACUAUACAACUUUCAGCAACGGAUCUCUUGGCUCUC